rnacentral:rRNA from 1 species
UACAGAGGUCUCAAGCGUUGUUCGGAUUCAUUGGGCGUAAAGGGCGCGCAGGCGGCUCGGAAAGUCGGGUGUGAAAACUCGGGGCUCAACCCCGGGCGUGCAUCCGAUACUGCCGGGCUUGAGGCAGGUAGGGGAGAUCGGAAUUCCUGGUGUAGCGGUGAAAUGCGCAGAUAUCAGGAGGAACACCGGUGGCGAAGGCGGAUCUCUGGGCCUGUCCUGACGCUGAGGCGCGAAAGCUAGGGGAGCGAACAGG